CGCCCGGUCCCAUUCCGAACCCGGAAGCUAAGCCCUGGCACGGCGAUGGUACUAUGCCCGAGAGGACAUGGGAGAGUAGCACACCGCCGCAACCACACUUCACCGAAGGCCCGGGGA
rnacentral:rRNA from 1 species